UGUGGAAUAUUGGUCAAUGGGCGAGAGCCUGAACCAGCCAAGUAGCGUGCAGGAUGACGGCCCUAUGGGUUGUAAACUGCUUUUAUGUGGGGAUAAAGUGCGUGACGUGUCAUGCAUUGCAGGUACCACAUGAAUAAGGACCGGCUAAUUCCGUGCCAGCAGCCGCGGUAAUACGGAAGGUCCGGGCGUUAUCCGGAUUUAUUGGGUUUAAAGGGAGCGUAGGCUGUCUAUUAAGCGUGUUGUGAAAUUUACCGGCUCAACCGGUGGCUUGCAGCGCGAACUGGUCGACUUGAGUAUGCAGGAAGUAGGCGGAAUUCAUGGUGUAGCGGUGAAAUGCUUAGAUAUCAUGACGAACUCCGAUUGCGCAGGCAGCUUACUGUAGCAUAACUGACGCUGAUGCUCGAAAGUGCGGGUAUCAAACAGG
rnacentral:rRNA from 1 species